CCAUCAGGCCACCCCAUCAUAGCCUAGCAAGGGCUCUGCCUGCUAUUUAUGCCACACACUCAAGACACCGAUUGUCAAGAAUUUCCUUGCAAACUGUCAUAUGUUAGUGAAUGUGUUUGGAGGAAGCAGCCGCGGCGGCAGAGGGCGAGCAGCACGGAGGGAGAGCGCCGCUUUUCAGCGGCUGAGCCAAUUGUCUUCUGGGCAGGAGGGGGCGUGCAGGAGGAAUCUGAACAGAGAGAAGACCUGCAAGUGAAAGACAGAAAGGCUCUAAAGUUGACAGCUCGUGCAGCUAAGCCCGUCAGGACAUCGCGGCCCAGACACCUCGGACGAUUCAUUAGGGAAGUUCAAUCUAAUUCACAUUAGUUGUGGAAAGUGCUGCACAUGCCACCACGGAGAAGGACUAUUCUUGUAUCAGGGCCAGUUUUCGAAAGCAGCCCAGGAGAUUUGGGGUUUAUGAAGUGCAGACAAGUGAACUGGUACACUGCAAGAUAAUUAAUCCGAGAUAAUGAAUGAGGCUACGAGGAUGCAUGCAAUCAUUAAUUCUAAUCACGACACGUUUAUUUGUCUCCCCUCUCUCCUCUAGGUUCAGAACACACAAAACGUCACUACAUAAUGUGUGAGAGGCACCGGUAAAGGAAGGAGAAAUCUAUGGAAAAAAAACAGUGAUGAGAUCGGUUGGGGAGAGAUGUUUGGAAUAUGAGGGAGAGAUACUAAAAGCCACUUCUUCUUCUACUUCUAGUUUCCGGGGUGGCCGUGUGUGACAUUAUAGCCGGCCCAGUCAGGCCAGACAGGCUCGACUCCGGUAAUACAGAGAGAAAUAUCACCACAGACUCCGCUGAGGGUACCGCGGAGGUAGUGGAAGAGGAGAGUACCGGCCCGCUGCUCCGCUCGGCUCUUUGCAGUCAAUUCACGGGACUUGCAAAAAAGCAGUGAUCUUUUUAUUCAUGAAACGACGCAUUACAGUUUAUGAAUACGUUCAUUUUAGGAAAUAAACAUUUCAUUUUCUGGUAUAAUCUGUAGUUGUUUUAACUUCACACGUGGCAGAUGGGAAAUAAUUCAGAGAUGUGAAAGUGUCCAUAUUUUCCACAAAAAAAACAAUAAGGAAAUUAAAAUCUGUGAAACAGGACGUUAUUUAAUUUCAUGUCAUGCAUGGGUUAAAGUGGGUGGGUUAUAAUGCAAUGUAGGUCGCUUCGGACUAAAGCGUCAGCUAAAUAACAUGUAAAGUAAAUAUCAAUUACAAUAAAAUAUAAACAUUGGUCACACAUUUCAUGUUAGCUCAGCAAAACUACCUACAACGCGUCCUCUUUUCUAGCGCCAUGACGUCGACCGCGUUUACAAAUUGCGUUUGAGUUGGUAGAUUUAGAAGCAGUAGGAGGGCGGCAUGCACCUCCUUUCCUUGUAAAGUCUGUCAGUCGUUCUUCACGGCAUUAUCGCGCAAUUCCGACUUUCUCAGCUCGUCCAUCAACUCCAGGGCAUGAGACUGAGAGGCUCUGGCAUCUAACACGCAGAGUCCCACGAUCGACUGAGCUAUGGCCUCCCCUCCCUCCCCUCCCCUCCUGUAGAUCGGCAGCCAAGCAUAUGCCGAUGUGAACUCAUCGUGGAUUAUUGAGCCAACUCUACCAACUCUACGCAAACAUUUUCCAGACUUUCCAACUCCGACCAGGCCUGUGCUGAGAGAAAUCCAAUGGGAUUUAUAGAUCAUCUCCCUACAGCUGUCUUUUCUCAGCCAGUACACCCCCACUCACCCCCCCCCCACACACACACAUACACAGUGCCAGUAUUCUUUCGUUUAUGAUCUGGCCACCAGGGCCAUUCGCAAAUACAGCUGCUACACUGUCUGUAGGUUUUCUCAAGUAGAUCAAAUGUGAAUUUGUCCUUUUGGAGUGCACAGCAUUAACCCUGCAUGGGACACCGAGGUCACCGAGGGACAAGGCCACCACCACGCUCACUGCUUUAGGGCGCAAAUUCAAUCCGGGUAAAGUGAGGGCUCGUGAUAUUAUACUAGUAUUACUCUUAACAAUUCUAUUAUGUUACGAUAUAUCGGAUUAUAUUUAGGUCAGCACAUGUUCCACACAUGCCAUGUGUAGAAAUACAUCUAAAACGUCUAGAUAUAUUUCUAAUGACUGAAUACUUAAUUGUGUGUGGGGGUUAUUCAUAUUUUUUUGACAAGUAAGAUGCCCACUUAUUUAUAUAGAAUUGCACUGGACAAGUAAUCUAACAGUAAUUAUUUAUAUAUAAAGUAAACCCGCGAGUAAAAGAUGAGCUUUGAAGUAAAUAUAUUUCGAUCGUAUCCAAUACAUACAUAUCAGUUCGAGUAGACUUUCUGGCAGCGACGGGUGGGUUUUGUCAACCAAAAACUCUUUAUUGGGAGAAACUGCCUUUUUCUCUCUUUUGAACACGCUCUAAACAGAGUGUCUGAGAAAUGAGCACACACGAUGUGCUGGUAAGAAGCCUCUAAAGCAGUUCCCCUAGUUCAGAUUAAUGGUUCUGCGGGCUUAUUCUGCAGUCGGGGUGAAAGGGCUAGGAUCACUAAUGAUUAUAAUAUAAUGCGUGGCGAUAACCACUCCCUUUGAGAUAUUAUCGCCCGAUGCACAAUGCUCUGGGGACGGGCUGCAGAGCGUCAGAUAGCUGAAGCUGCCGCAGCCAUCGCAGCGGAUUUCUUCUCUAUGAAAUAAAAAGCCCGCAAGCACGAAUGGAGAAGGAGAGCUGGCUGCAGCUGAUACCUGCGUUAAAAAGAGCAGAGCCGCCGUGAAUGCUGUUUAACCAUUUAUCUGCUGUUUUUUAUGUAUCAACCCUGAGAUGAUGGGGGUUUUAUGGUUAAGUUAUUAGUGGAUGUUUAGUUAGAAAAUCCUUGACCUAAUUUCCACCAUAAAGGACUAAAGCCCAAUGGUUUUAUUAGUAAAGUCUGCCAGGUGGUUUAAUUAUGAGGCCUACUACCUGGAUCAUUUAAUGCUUUACAAGAUGGCUUUUUACAGCACCAAAGAGGCCCUGUGGAAAUGCUCGUUGCUCAUCUGAUCUAAGCAGGUCUUUAUUUGUCUAAGCUUUUGGUUUGAAGAGGUGAAGAUAACAUCCGAAUUAUAAUGAAACAUUUAAUUCAUUAUGAAAUAAAGAAAAUCAUAAUCCAUAGUAUGAAUGUUAAAAGUAAUGAUUUCGUUUUUAAAAUUGAGCGUGCUCACUAUUUAAUCACUUUUUGACCACCCAACCCUUUUCUAAUUAAUACUUUUUAAUACCUGGGCAGUUAUUGGGUAUAAACUGUUUGAAAGGAGCUAGGUGGAAAAAACAUGCCAUGUCUAAUCUCCGAAUAUCAUUUGAAUUAAAACUGAUGCAGCUAGGCCUGUACAGUAAGAGUCUGCACCCGCAAAGCCAGGGGGCAGUCCCGAUUCAUCCUCAUCCAAAGAGCAGUACUAAUGUGAAAGCACAUAUGAACCUGAAAAUAUUCUCACGGUACAUAAAAAACCUUUAGCAUAAAGUGCGCGCAAAACUUGGCCAAAGUCGGUCAGGCUAGUGAUCCCUGCAUAAUACUCCUAAUUAACUAGCAAUAAAAAAACAACAGUCCUCAACAAUAUCUAAUGAAAAGGACUGCCGGAGAGGGGAAGAGGAGGAAGUGGAGGAAGAUGACUGAGUGAUGUUGCUGUGCUGGACGCCACAGCCAAUCCCGCUCCAUCCAUCUUCAUUGGAGCUUUGUGUGCACAAAAAGUAAAGGAACGCAUAAGGUAAAGCCUGCUUCAAAGCCACGGCUUUAUUUUAAUAUCCAAUAGAUCAGCAGGCAGACAAAGCUUUAUUUUCGCCAGGAGAGAUAUAUUUUACAUCUGCCUUACGGUUUUAUGUUGGAGAGGUGUCAGCCGGGGGAAAUAGAUGGCUAAUGCAUAGGCAAAGCACUGCUCGACUGGGCAUGCACGUCAGAGGGAGGAGGGGUGGGGGAGGGGCGGCGUGGGGUGCAGGGUAGAGCAGCGGAGAUUUAGGGCCCCUGCGGGGGGCAACAUGGGUAAGAGGACGCUGGGGCUGACUCCACUCAUACUGUAGCUUAUAACACAUCAGCACAUAUCAGUUAAACCAAUGCACAAGCUAAAAAUCCAUGCCCAGACCACAUGUUUAGGGGGGGGGGAAGCAGAGAUUUGUAAGAAUAAUGAUGGGAUUUGUUGAAUAGUAAGACAGGUGGACACACACUAAGAAAUUUCAAUCCAGUCACUGUUGUUUGUAUGUUUCAUAUCAUAUUCUAUUUAGUGCAUAAUUCUAUUCAUUAGCUUUCAAUUCCCAGCAAAAUUCAUGUUGUUAUUAAAAUGUGGACUCAACACAUAGAAAGAAACAUGUGUCACUGUUCGCUGGAACUGCAUUUUUCGGACAAUCCAGAGGAAAAUAAUAUGAAGACGAAGAAGUUUUCACACUCUUCUAAAUGAGCCUGGUCAAAUUUGAGAAUAUAUAGAAAACUCAGAAACACAACAAUAAUUUAAAUAAAUACUUAGAGAGAAUUUAUUUGUUAUAUAACUUCAUGGCGGCCUACAAUUCAUUCAUGUAGUA